AUAUAUAUAUAUAUAUAUAUAUAUAUAUAUAUGCAUAUAUAUAUAUGAAUAUAUAUAUAUAUAUGAUAAUUGCAAAGGAGAGAGAGAGAAAAAGGGAAAAAGAUGUUAUGUAAGAAGAAACGCAUAAAGAGGAGCAAAACAGUGGAAAAAGAAAGAAACGAAAGGAUCAGUCCCAGGGAGAAAUAGGAGAGAACGAGAGAGGGAGAGAACGAGAGAGAGAGUGAAAGAACGAAAGAACGAAAGAGAAAAAGAACGAGAGAGAUAGAAUGAGAUUGAGAGGGUGAGAGAGAGAGAGAGAGAGAGAGAGUGAAAGAAAAGAAAAGGGAGUCGAAGAAAGGAGAAAAAGAAGAAGGGAAAAAAAAAACGACGACGAGGAACGAUGCGAGAAGGAAGGAAGAAAAUCGACAAGAAUUUCUCAGACUUGAAAAGAGAAAGAAAGGAAGAAAGAAAGAAGAGAAAAGAAAAAAGAAAAGAACAAAUAUCCUGGAUUUAAGCAAAAAACACAACACAACAAAAACACACAGAAUGAAAAUAACAAUUGAACGAGAGGAAGUAAAUUUGGCAACUCUAAAAGUUGUGGAAUCUACCAAGUUUGGAAGAGGAAGAAAGACGAAAGAUUAUGAAGAAAAAUAAAUAGAAGUAAAAAUGAAGACUGAAACGAAAUAUAUUAGAAAAAAGCAAAAAAGGAAAUAUAAAGAAUAUAAAUGCAACAAUUGAACAAUUGAAAUCUGAUGGCAGCGAGAUUACGGAAUUUAACAGAAAAUGGAUUACCAUUCCAUGCGGUAUAUAUCUGAACAUCAAAGUAAGAAUAGCAGAAACUUCACAUAAAAAGAUAUUCUCUCUUUCUCUCACUUUUUUUCUUUCCCCAAACGAUAUACAUACACAUAUUCUUUAUAUAAACAUAUAUUUAAUA